AUUUUCUUCAUUCAGCUUUACUAUUCUUGUUGCUUUUUCUUGGCCAAACAAAAGCACAAGUGUUAGUGUUUGCAAGAAAAAAAACUUCAUUUUUCUACUAAAUCAAAGUUUCAUUUUAAGAAGUGUUAGAAAGAAAAGUUGCUUUGAUCUACAAGGUGGUGCUUGUGAGCUAAUUUAUUUGAGAUGAUACUCGAAUUCGUUCUACCGACUAUUGCCCUGACGAAGGAAAUGUCAUUAGACUUCCCUGACUGACACUCGUCGACUGCUUAGGCAUUCAAUCCCAUCUCAAGUAGGGCUACAUAUAUGGGUCGAGUCAGAGCUCUCGCUUUCGGUAGUGAGCUGUUUGGAUUUUCGUGCGCCGCUGAAGCCACUUAUCUCGUGGGUGGACCUGGCUUUUGAGGAGACUGGUCCUUCUAUGGCUAAUGAGGAAGAUGAAGUUACUUCGAGGAGAGAUACUACGUCAUGAGGAAUUUGUGCAGUGUGUGGAGAUUACCCUUGUUACUGUAGUUAUUAGUGGAUGAUCAGAUAAUAGGGUCUUAGUGUUGUUCUUUUGGUGGUUGUACUUAUUUGGUUCUGGGAUAACUAUAUCUAUGACAUAACUUGUCAGUUGACUUUUUGGUGGGUCCAUGUUCCAUUUUUUUGACGUUUUGGGGGAUGACAUUCUUGGAGCAGUACUUACUUAUGUGCAAGUGUAUGCCGAGAAUACCCCAGGGGUACGAGCGAUGUCUAAUAGGUCUCAUAGCCCAGAUGUAUUUUCUAUUUGUAUAUUUUGGAUUAUUGUCCAAUAAACUAUCUUAGGUUGUUAGUAUUAUAUAUGAUGUAAUUAUUUAUAA